UGUUAGCAAAGAUGCAGAGAAAAAGGGAACUUUUAUACACUGUUGGUGGGAAUGUAAAUUAGUACAGCCAGUAUAGAGAACUGUAUGGAGGUUUUUCAAAAAACUAAAAAUAGAACUACCAUAUGAUCCAGCAUUCCCGCUACUGGUUAUUUAUCCAAUAGUAGAGAAAUCAGUAUAUCCAAGGGCUGCCUGCACUUGCAUGUUCAUCGCAGUGCUGUUCACAGUAGCAAAGAUGGAGAAUCAGUCUAAGUGUCCAUCAACAGGUAAAUGGAUGAAGAAAAUGUGCUGUGUGUACACAACGGAAUACUAUUCAGCCAUAAAAAAGAAUGAAAUCAUGUCAUUUGCAGCAACGUGGGAGGAACUAGAGGCCAUUAUCUUAAGUGAAAUAAGCCAAGUACAGAAAGACAAAUAUCAUGUGUUGUCACUUAUAUGUGGGUGCCAAAAAUUUGAUGUCAUAGACAUGGAGAAUAGAAAGACAGGAGAGACCGGAAAGGAAGUUAGGUGUGGGGAGAAA